rnacentral:rRNA from 1 species
AUUGAACGCUGGCGGCGGGCCUAACACAUGCAAGUCGAGCGGAUGAAGGGAGCUUGCUCCUGGAUUCAGCGGCGGACGGGUGAGUAAUGCCUAGGAAUCUGCCUGGUCGUGGGGGAUAACGUCCGGAAACGGGCGCUAAUACCGCAUACGUCCUGAGGGAGAAAGUGGGGGAUCUUCGGACCUCACGCUAUCAGAUGAGCCUAGGUCGGAUUAGCUAGUUGGUGGGGUAAAGGCCUACCAAGGCGACGAUCCGUAACUGGUCUGAGAGGAUGAUCAGUCACACUGGAACUGAGACACGGUCCAGACUCCUACGGGAGGCAGCAGUGGGGAAUAUUAGACAAUGGGCGAAAGCCUGAUCCAGCCAUGCCGCGUGUGUGAAGAAGGUCUUCGGAUUGUAAAGCACUUUAAGUUGGGAGGAAGGGCAGUAAGUUAAUACCUUGCUGUUUUGACGGUACCAACAGAAUAAGCACCGGCUAACUUCGUG